rnacentral:rRNA from 1 species
GAUGAACGCUGGCGGCGUGCCUAAUACAUGCAAGUCGAGCGAACAGACGAGGAGCUUGCUCCUCUGACGUUAGCGGCGGACGGGUGAGUAACACGUGGAUAACCUACCUAUAAGACUGGGAUAACUUCGGGAAACCGGAGCUAAUACCGGAUAAUAUAUUGAACCGCAUGGUUCAAUAGUGAAAGACGGUUUUGCUGUCACUUAUAGAUGGAUCCGCGCCGCAUUAGAUAGUUGGUAAGGUAACGGCUUACCAAGGCAACGAUGCGUAGCCGACCUGAGAGGGUGAUCGGCCACACGGGAACUGAGACACGGUCCAGACUCCUACGGGAGGCAGCAGUAGGGAAUCUUCCGCAAUGGGCGAAAGCUUGACGGAGCAACGCCGCGUGAGUGAUGAAGGUCUUCGGAUCGUAAAACUCUGUUAUUAGGGAAGAACAAAUGUGUAAGUAACUAUGCACGUCUUGACGGUACCUAAUCAGAAAGCCACGGCUAACUACGUG